UAUUUUGUCUUGAGUUUACGUCAGACGAUGUUGAUGCUCCGUGCAUGUUCAUAUUGUCUUCUAUCUCUUACCUCGAUUAUUGAUAUCUUGGUUAGGUGCGUAGUCGCUUUAGACAUCCACUUCCCCACUCUCUUUACUUCUUGCCUUGAUGAUACGAUACUUUGGUUAAGAGUAGCUUUCAUUACCCCUUCUUUCCUAGAUGAUGAGGUAUAUAUGGUCAGGAAUCCCCCCCUUUACCUACCUCAAUAUUUGAUAUCUUAG